UAUACUUUCUUUUUUGUUUCUUAGUAAGUCAUCUAACUAAGAAUAUACUUUUUUUUCUUUUUGGUUUUUGGAGACAGGGUUUCUCUUAAUACAGAGAAACCCUGUCUCGAAAAACCAAAGGGGAAAAAAAAAAAAAGAAAGAAAGAAGCUCACUGAGAGUAACAGAAACAAGAGAUGUUUUGACAAGGCCUUUAUAUUUUGUUAACUGUCAAGAAAGAGGUCCAAGAUACCUGUGUGUGUGUGUGUGUGUGUGUGUGUGUGCAUGCACUUGAGAAAGCCAGAAGACAGCCAGCCUAGAAAUCCCCUGGAGCAAAAUUACAGGCAACUGUGACCCACUUGAAGAACCAAAGGCGGAUCCUUUAUAAGAGCAGUAAGUGCUCUUAACCACUGAACAUUUCUCCAUACCCCAUGAAGAGUAUACAUUUGUUUUUGUUUUGUUUAGUUUUCCUGUUUCAAUACAGUGUCUCACUGUGUAGCCCUAGCUGGCCUGGAACUCACUAUAUAUAUAAUUCAUAGUGAUUUGCUUACCACUGUCUCUCAAGUGUUGGGAUUAUAGGCAUAUGCCACCUCACAGGGCUUGAAGCAGAGAGUUUUAAAGUAAUUGUCCAGUAACUCAUAAAUCUAAAGUUCAGACAAGCUGUUGACAGAACAUUAAACACUAUGAUGACUGCUUGACCUUUGGUCAACUGUUUUGUUUUUAGGUCUUGUCCUUUAUUAUGGAUGUCCUUGCUAAUGAGUGGAAAGAACAGAGUUCCCUUUAAGCUCUAUUACAUAUGAUUGUCAGCAGUGCCAUUUGUAUAGUCUAUACAUUCCCAUCAGUCACUCAGUUAAUCUUAAGGGACAGGGGACAUUCUAGGUAGUCAAAUGUUCUAGGUAGGGAUGGUGUUUUUCAGCAACCUGACAAUGUCAAGGGACUGAGGGCAGACAAGCCCUUGCCUAACUUGAGGUGGAAUGUAUCACAGGACUCAAGUUUGGGUUCCAUUCUCUCAGUUUCUUGCCAAGUUUAGAUGUUGUUUCCAUAUGGAAGGUAACAGGCUCAGGGUCUGCGAGAUCUUCUGUUUUCAUGGGAGCCUCCAUAGUUUGUCAUUUGUUGUUUCGAUGGUGAGUAAGUAGGUCAGCAUUGACAGUUUCUUGUAUUAGAAUUCCUGGAUAUGCUACUGGCCUCACCACAUGGUCCAAACAUCACAGGAAGUGUUAACAAAGCUGGCUAAUGCUCCUAUAAUAAAGAACUGACUUCCUUCUCUCCUUCCUUUCCCCUUCCCACCCUUUUUCCUUUUCAUAACUUUUUGAACCUGCCAGAAUCACUUUAAUGUCCUUAUAAUUUGUCUUAUGAGCUAUUUUUGCAAAUGGGAGGCAAUGCGUUACUGCAGUCAUCCUAAAACUGCAUGAUUCUUUUGUUGUUUGGUGGAGAACAAAUAGAGCAAAGAGAAGGGAGUGAACACACUGCUGAUAUCAGUUACACCUUCAGUGAAAAGUAAUAAGCACUUGAUUUCAUGAGUCAGUCUUGUUUCUGCCAAAAAUAUAUUUAUUCUGAUAACCUCAAUCAAUGUGCCAGACUUGGUGAUUAAAGGUUAUGCUGCAAGGGUCGCUAACUUAACUAUGAAAAUGGGAAAAACAAGAAAGGCCAUCUUUUUGUAUAAAAUGGAACAAAGACAUACUUCAAGUAGAAUAAAAUUGUGGUUUUCCUGUUUAAAUACCACUUUACUUAUCAUUGUAGGUAUGUGCCUGUGCAUAUGUAUAGGGGAGAUGACAAUUUGCAGGAGUCAGAGACAAUUCUCUGUCUCUUUAUCCUGCGAGUUCUAGAGAUUUAAUUUACACGGUCAGACCUGGCAGCAGAUACCUUAACCUGCCGAGCUGUUUUGAUGUCCUGCCCUGCUUUUUUAGCCAGGCUGGCCUCAAACUCUUGAUCCUCCUGCAUACACCUCCCAAUACUGGAAUGACAUACAGGCAUGCGUCACAGUGCCUGGUUAAGUUUUAGUUUUUGUUUUAGGCUGUUUGGUUAGCAUACUGUACUUCUCUUGAUGGCAGAGUUUGGAGCAAGUUAUUUGCUACACAAACUACUUAACUACCAAUUUCUGUCUUAGUUAGGGUUUUAUUGCUGUGAAGAAAAACCAUGACCACAGCAACUCUAAUAAAGGGAAUCAUUCAUUUGGGGCUGGAUUAUACUUCAGAGGUUUAGUUCAUUGUGGUCUUGGUGGGUUACAUGGGGCACGCAGGUAGACAUGAUCCUAAAGAGGUAGUUGAGAGUUCUAAGUUCAGAUCAGGAGGUAGCAGGAAGAAAGCAACACUGGGCUUGGCUUGGGCUUCUGAGAAGUCAAAGCCUAUCCCUAGUUACACAUUUCCUCUAUCAAAGCCACACCUCCUAAUGGUGACACUUCCUAUCAGCCUAUGGUGGCCAUUUUCAUUCAAGCCACCACACCCACUGAGCUUUUAUAUGGGUUCAGGGUAUUAUAAUUAGGAUUCUCACUCUUGUAUGAGUGAGUAAGUAGGCAGCUGAGCCCCCCAAGCCCAUCAAUUUACAUUUAUUUAUUUACUUAUUUAUUUAAUUCUUUUUCAAGACAGGGUUUCUCUGUGUAACGGCCUGGCUGUCCU
rnacentral:lncRNA from 1 species